UACAGAGGUCUCAAGCGUUGUUCGGAUUCAUUGGGCGUAAAGGGUGCGUAGGCGGCGCGGUAAGUCGGGUGUGAAAUCUUGGAGCUUAACUCCGAAACUGCAUUCGAUACUGCCGUGCUUGAGGACUGGAGAGGAGACUGGAAUUUACGGUGUAGCGGUGAAAUGCGUAGAUAUCUGGAGGAACACCGGUGGCGAAGGCGGCAUCCUGGACCGGUAUUGACACUGAAAAGCGAAAGCCAGGGGAGCAAACGGG
rnacentral:rRNA from 1 species